UACGUAGGGUGCAAGCGUUAAUCGGAAUUACUGGGCGUAAAGCGUGCGCAGGCGGUUAUGUAAGACAGAUGUGAAAUCCCCGGGCUUAACCUGGGAACUGCAUUGGUGACUGGCAGGCUUUGAGUGUGGCAGAGGGAGGUAGAAUUCCACGUGUAGCAGUGAAAUGCGUAGAGAUGUGGAGGAAUACCGAUGGCGAAGGCAGCCUCCUGGGCCAACACUGACGCUCAUGCACGAAAGCGUGGGGAGCAAACAGG
rnacentral:rRNA from 1 species